rnacentral:rRNA from 1 species
GUGCCAGCCGCUGCGGUAAUACGUAGGGCGCAAGCGUUGUCCGGAAUUAUUGGGCGUAAAGAGCUCGUAGGCGGUUUGUCGCGCCUGCUGUGAAAACCCGAGGCUCAACCUCGGGCCUGCAGUGGGUACGGGCAGACUAGAGUGCGGUAGGGGAGACUGGAACUCCUGGUGUAGCGGUGGAAUGCGCAGAUAUCAGGAAGACACCGAUGGCGAAGGCAGGUCUCUGGGCCGUAACUGACGCUGAGGAGCGAAAGCAUGGGGAGCGAACAGGAUUAGAUAACCCUGGUAGUCCAUGCCGUAAACGUUGGACGCUAGAUGUGGGGCCUUUCACGGUUUCCGCGUCGUAGCUAACGCAUUAAGCGUCCCGCCUGGGGAGUACGGCCGCAAGGCUAAAACUCAAAGGAAUUGACGGGGGCCCGCACAAGCGGCGGAGCAUGCGGAUUAAUUCGAUGCAACGCGAAGAACCUUACCAAGGCUUGACAUAUAGAGGAAAGACGUAGAGAU